GUACACUCCUGCGGGAGGCAGCAGUGGGGAAUUUUGGACAAUGGGCGAAAGCCUGAUCCAGCAAUGCCGCGUGUGUGAAGAAGGCCUUCGGGUUGUAAAGCACUUUUGUCCGGAAAGAAAUCCUUGGCUCUAAUACAGUCGGGGGAUGACGGUACCGAAAGAAUAAGCACCGGCUAACUACGUGCCAGCAGCCGCGGUAAUACGUAGGGUGCGAGCGUUAAUCGGAAUUACUGGGCGUAAAGCGUGCGCAGGCGGUUUGCUAAGACCGAUGUGAAAUCCCCGGGCUCAACCUGGGAACUGCAUUGGUGACUGGCAGGCUGGAGUAUGGCAGAGGGGGGUAGAAUUCCACGUGUAGCAGUGAAAUGCGUAGAGAUGUGGAGGAAUACCGAUGGCGAAGGCAGCCCCCUGGGCCAAUACUGACGCUCAUGCACGAAAGCGUGGGGAGCAAACAGGAUUAGAUACCCGAGUAGUCCCA
rnacentral:rRNA from 1 species